rnacentral:lncRNA from 1 species
UGUGGCUCGGGGGCGGGCCCCUCCGGGGCGGGCCGCUCAGGGUUAAAGGGGCGUCCGCGGGCCGCCGCCGCUCCGCCGCGGGGAGACAAAGCGUCCGCUCGCCGCCGCCCCCCCAGCGGUUCCAGGCCAUGGGCGGUGCGGACCGUCGCGCCAGCCCCGCAGCCAGGCUGUUUACAUACCUCUCGUGAAAGGCAUGACUGCCGUCUGCAGAGCGAGGCUGUGACAGGGGACCCACGGGUUGCAGGGCCUCCUCCGAGGGGCCACACUGGUGACGUGCGUGCUGCCUCCCGGGGA